GUUUGCAGAGCACGCUGAUAGCACACGAUAGCCUCUUGAGGCAUUCCUAAAGCCUUGUAAACAUUUCCUUGGUUCAUAUGGGCAUCAGAAAAUGAUGGCUUGUGUUUCACAGCUUCCUUAUAAUAUAUAAGGGCUCUGUUAAGGUCUCCUGACUCCAUGUAAAGGGCGGCAAGAUUUGACCAAGCAAUAGCAAAAGUGGGUUGUAUUCGCAAGGCCUCGAUAUAGCAAUUGUACGCUUCUUGAAUCAAUCCUUGCGCUUUCAUAAGAUUCCCCAGGUUGCUGUGGGCGUCAACCAAGCGUGGGUUCAGAGAUAGAGCUUGGCGACAACACUGGGCGGCCUCAGGAAGUCUUCCUUUUCGUGUAUAGGCACUGGCCAAAUUUGAC
rnacentral:misc_RNA from 1 species